rnacentral:rRNA from 1 species
CGUUGAUUACGUCCCUGCCCUUUGUACACACCGCCCGUCGCUACUACCGAUUGAAUGGCUCAGUGAGGCUUUCGGAUUGGCCCAGAGAGGUCGGCAACGACCACUCAGGGCCGAGAAGUCAUCCAAACUCGGUCAUUUAGAGGAAGUAAAAGUCGUAACAAGG